rnacentral:tRNA from 1 species
GCACCCGUAGCGCAACUGGAUAGAGCGUUUGUCUUCGGAACAAAAGGUUGGUGGUUCAAAUCCACCCGGGUGCA